UCCGAUUUGUCACCGACCAAUUGAAGAGCUCCGUCUCCGGAGCCCCGAUCGGGAAGUCAAGGGCUGGUAAGGUUCUUCGCGUUGCCUCGAAUUAAACCACAUACUCCACCGCUUGUGCGGGCCCCCGUCAAUUCCUUUGAGUUUCGGUCUUGCGACCGUACUCCCCAGGCGGAGUGUUUCACGCGUUAGCUGGGCCCCUGAUCCACGUAGACCAAGGGCGAACACUCAUCGUUUACGGCAUGGACUAC
rnacentral:misc_RNA from 1 species